rnacentral:rRNA from 1 species
ACUCCUACGGGAGGCAGCAGUGGGAAUAUUGCACAAUGGGGAAGCCAUCGAUGCAGCGACGCAGCGUGCGGGAUGACGGCCUUCGGUUGUAACCGCUUUCAGCAGGGAAGAAGCGCAAGUGACGGUACCUGCAGAAGAAGUACCGGCUAACUACGUGCCAGCAGCCGCGGUAAUACGUAGGGUACGAGCGUUGUCCGGAAUUAUUGGGCGUAAAGAGCUCGUAGGUGGUUGGUCACGUCUGCUGUGGAAACGCAACGCUUAACGUUGCGCGUGCAGUGGGUACGGGCUGACUAGAGUGCAGUAGGGAGUCUGGAAUUCCUGGUGUAGCGGUGAAAUGCGCAGAUAUCAGGAGGAACACCGGUGGCGAAGGCGGGACUCUGGGCUGUAACUACACUG